UACGUAGGGUGCGAGCGUUGUCCGGAAUUAUUGGGCGUAAAGAGCUUGUAGGCGGUUUGUCGCGUCUGCUGUGAAAAUCCGGGGCUCAACCCCGGACUUGCAGUGGGUACGGGCAGACUAGAGUGUGGUAGGGGAGACUGGAAUUCCUGGUGUAGCGGUGAAAUGCGCAGAUAUCAGGAGGAACACCGGUGGCGAAGGCGGCUCUCUGGGCUUUACCUGACGCUGAGGAACGAAAGUGUGGGGAGCAAACAGG
rnacentral:rRNA from 1 species